GAUGAAGAACGUAGCGAAAUGCGAUACGUAAUGUGAAUUGCAGAAUUCAGUGAAUCAUCGAAUCUUUGAACGCACAUUGCGCUCUCUGGUAUUCCGGAGAGCAUGCUUGUUUGAGUAUCAGUAAACACCUCAAUUUCAAUAUUUUUUUAUAUAUUUUGAAAUUGGACUUGAGCAUAUCCCAACGUGUAUUUAAUUACAUGGAGGGUUGCUUCAAAUGCAGGUGCAGCCGAUCAUUCUUCUGGGCUAAAAGCAUUAUCUAGUUAGUCCCGUAAAACGGAUUAUUCAUUUUAUUGCUGCAGCUUACCUUUAUAAAAGGAAGACAUGGUCAUUGUGCUGACUGAUGCAGGAUUUCUCAGAGGGUCUGCAAAGACUUUUUGAAAACUCGAUCUCAAAUCAAGUAAGACUACCCGCUGAACUUAAGCAUAUCAAUAAGCGGAGGA
rnacentral:misc_RNA from 1 species